UCCUUGGUCAUUUAGAGGAAGUAAAAGUCGUAACAAGGUUUCCGUAGGUGAACCUGCGGAAGGAUCAUUAUCGAAUUGUAAGGACUUGGCUGUCGCUGGCUCUCUCUGGGAGCAUGUGCACGCCGGUUCAAACUCUUCAACCUUCAACCUCCUGUGCACCUUUUGUGGACUGUGGAUGGAUAACUGUCGAGGUAACACUCGGUUGUGUGGACUGCGCCUCACACGCGCUUUCUGCUGCAUCCAUCUGCGGUUCAUGUCUCACUACACACUAUUCAUUAAACUUAGAAUGUUCAACGGUUGGGACUAGUUCCCUCCUUAAAUAUAUACAACUUUCAACAACGGAUCUCUUGGCUCUCGCAUCGAUGAAGAACGCAGCGAAAUGCGAUAAGUAAUGUGAAUUGCAGAUUUCAGUGAAUCAUCGAAUCUUUGAACGCACCUUGCGCCCUGUGGUAUUCCGCAGGGCAUGCCCGUUUGAGUGUCAUUAAAUCAUCAACUCUAAACACCUUGUGUGUCUAGUGCUUGGUCUUGAGGGUCUUGCAGGCGCUUCGACGUCUGCUCCCUUUAAAUCCAUUAGCGAGACUUCCCUUUGCUGACCGUCUCUUGGCGUGAUAGUUAUCUGCGUCAACCCGACCGGUUCUCGUUGGGCUUGCUUCUAAUCGUCUUCGGACAGUCGAUUUGGGUGCAUAUAUGCGCUCCAUCUCAAACCUUUUUGACCUCAAAUCGGGUAGGACUACCCGCUGAACUUAAGCAUAUCAAUAAGCGGAGGAAA
rnacentral:rRNA from 1 species